GGUGGUUUUUGGGUAACACACCCCAGAAUCAGGCUCCCUCCUCUCUGGUUCUGGGUGUGUCACCCGAGAACCGCA
rfam:Myotis davidii contig16104, whole genome shotgun sequence.